UAACCUCAGGCGCUAUAAAUUUUCAGCUA
rnacentral:piRNA from 1 species